rnacentral:rRNA from 1 species
AGCAGCCGCGGUAAUUCCAGCUCCAAUAGCGUAUAUUAAAGUUGUUGCAGUUAAAAAGCUCGUAGUUGAAUUUCGGGAUUGACGUGAUGGUCGUGCCUUAAGGGGUAUGAACUGUUGCUGUUGAUUUCUCACCUUCUGGAGAAACUUGAUGUCCUUAAUUGGGUGUCUUGCGGAUCCAGGACCUUUACCUUGAAAAAAUUAGAGUGUUUAAAGCAGGCAUUUUGCUCGAAUACAUUAGCAUGGAAUAAUAGAAUAGGACGGCAUGGUUCUAUUUUGUUGGUUUCUAGGAUCACCGUAAUGAUUAAUAGGGAUAGUUGGGGGCAUUAGUAUUCAAUUGUCAGAGGUGAAAUUCUUGGAUUUAUUGAAGACUAACUACUGCGAAAGCAUUUGCCAAGGAUGUUUUCAUUAAUCAAGAACGAAAGUUAGGGGAUCGAAGACGAUCAGAUACCGUCGUAGUCUUAACCAUAAACUA